AGUGUGUGUUAGUGACCAGAAACCCUGGC
rnacentral:piRNA from 1 species